rnacentral:lncRNA from 1 species
UUUUUUUCCAUUUUUCUGUUUUAGUUUGAAGGGAAAUUCCAGCCAAAAUAGAUACAGUACUAGACAAAUUCAGAAGCACAUAACGACAGAACUUUAGGGCCUGUUUGGGACUGCUCUACUACAGAAAAUUCAGCUCCGUUCUGGAAAACAUAAGCCAAACGGGGUAGCACCAUGAUAUACAACUCCACACAAAAACUAGAAUCUGGGAUCCAACUUUUUGUUUUCUAUGAAGCUCUUUACGAGGAGCUUCAUAAAAUUAUAGAAGCUGUAGUUGGAGCAAAAGUACCCACCAGUGCCACAGUAAGUGGACACCCCUUCGUUUCUCCUCUCUCGUC